rnacentral:rRNA from 1 species
UUAAGCGACUAAGCGUACACGGUGGAUGCCCUGGCAGUCAGAGGCGAUGAAGGACGUGCUAAUCUGCGAAAAGCGUCGGUAAGGUGAUAUGAACCGUUAUAACCGGCGAUGUCCGAAUGGGGAAACCCAGUGUGAUUCGUCACACUAUCGUUAACUGAAUACAUAGGUUAACGAGGCGAACCGGGGGAACUGAAACAUCUAAGUACCCCGAGGAAAAGAAAUCAACCGAGAUUCCCCCAGUAGCGGCGAGCGAACGGGGAGCAGCCCAGAGUCUGAAUCAGCUUGUGUGUUAGUGGAACGGUCUGGAAAGUCCGACGGUACAGGGUGAUAGUCCCGUACACCAAAAUGCACAGGCUGUGAACUCGAAGAGUAGGGCGGGACACGUGGUAUCCUGUCUGAAUAUGGGGGGACCAUCCUCCAAGGCUAAAUACUCCUGACUGACCGAUAGUGAACCAGUACCGUGAGGGAAAGGCGAAAAGAACCCCGGCGAGGGGAGUGAAAAAGAACCUGAAACCGUGUACGUACAAGCAGUGGGAGCACCUUUAUGGUGUGACUGCGUACCUUUUGUAUAAUGGGUCAGCGACUUAUAUUCUGUAGCAAGGUUAACCGUAUAGGGGAGCCGCAGGGAAACCGAGUCUUAACUGGGCGUUAAGUUGCAGGGUAUAGACCCGAAACCCGGUGAUCUAGCCAUGGGCAGGUUGAAGGUUGGGUAACACUAACUGGAGGACCGAACCGACUAAUGUUGAAAAAUUAGCGGAUGACUUGUGGCUGGGGGUGAAAGGCCAAUCAAACCGGGAGAUAGCUGGUUCUCCCCGAAAGCUAUUUAGGUAGCGCCUCGUGAACUCAUCUUCGGGGGUAGAGCACUGUUUCGGCUAGGGGGUCAUCCCGACUUACCAACCCGAUGCAAACUACGAAUACCGAAGAAUGUUAUCACGGGAGACACACGGCGGGUGCUAACGUCCGUCGUGAAGAGGGAAACAACCCAGACCGCCAGCUAAGGUCCCAAAGUCAUGGUUAAGUGGGAAACGAUGUGGGAAGGCACAGACAGCCAGGAUGUUGGCUUAGAAGCAGCCAUCAUUUAAAGAAAGCGUAAUAGCUCACUGGUCGAGUCGGCCUGCGCGGAAGAUGUAACGGGGCUAAACCAUGCACCGAAGCUGCGGCAGCGACACUAUGUGUUGUUGGGUAGGGGAGCGUUCUGUAAGCCUGCGAAGGUGGCCUGUGAGGGUCGCUGGAGGUAUCAGAAGUGCGAAUGCUGACAUAAGUAACGAUAAAGCGGGUGAAAAGCCCGCUCGCCGGAAGACCAAGGGUUCCUGUCCAACGUUAAUCGGGGCAGGGUGAGUCGACCCCUAAGGCGAGGCCGAAAGGCGUAGUCGAUGGGAAACAGGUUAAUAUUCCUGUACUUGGUGUUACUGCGAAGGGGGGACGGAGAAGGCUAUGUUAGCCGGGCGACGGUUGUCCCGGUUUAAGCAUGUAGGCUGGUUAUCCAGGCAAAUCCGGAUAAUCAAGGCUGAGGUGUGAUGACGAGGCACUACGGUGCUGAAGUAACAAAUGCCCUGCUUCCAGGAAAAGCCUCUAAGCAUCAGGUAACAUCAAAUCGUACCCCAAACCGACACAGGUGGUCAGGUAGAGAAUACCAAGGCGCUUGAGAGAACUCGGGUGAAGGAACUAGGCAAAAUGGUGCCGUAACUUCGGGAGAAGGCACGCUGGUGUGUAGGUGAAGUCCCUGCGGAUGGAGCUGAGACCAGUCGAAGAUACCAGCUGGCUGCAACUGUUUAUUAAAAACACAGCACUGUGCAAACACGAAAGUGGACGUAUACGGUGUGACGCCUGCCCGGUGCCGGAAGGUUAAUUGAUGGGGUUAUCCGUAAGGAGAAGCUCUUGAUCGAAGCCCCGGUAAACGGCGGCCGUAACUAUAACGGUCCUAAGGUAGCGAAAUUCCUUGUCGGGUAAGUUCCGACCUGCACGAAUGGCGUAAUGAUGGCCAGGCUGUCUCCACCCGAGACUCAGUGAAAUUGAACUCGCUGUGAAGAUGCAGUGUACCCGCGGCAAGACGGAAAGACCCCGUGAACCUUUACUAUAGCUUGACACUGAACAUUGAGCCUUGAUGUGUAGGAUAGGUGGGAGGCUUUGAAGCGUGGACGCCAGUCUGCGUGGAGCCAACCUUGAAAUACCACCCUUUAAUGUUUGAUGUUCUAACGUUGGCCCCUUACCGGGGUUGCGGACAGUGUCUGGUGGGUAGUUUGACUGGGGCGGUCUCCUCCCAAAGCGUAACGGAGGAGCACGAAGGUUAGCUAAUCCUGGUCGGACAUCAGGAGGUUAGUGCAAUGGCAUAAGCUAGCUUGACUGCGAGCGUGACGGCGCGAGCAGGUGCGAAAGCAGGUCAUAGUGAUCCGGUGGUUCUGAAUGGAAGGGCCAUCGCUCAACGGAUAAAAGGUACUCCGGGGAUAACAGGCUGAUACCGCCCAAGAGUUCAUAUCGACGGCGGUGUUUGGCACCUCGAUGUCGGCUCAUCACAUCCUGGGGCUGAAGUAGGUCCCAAGGGUAUGGCUGUUCGCCAUUUAAAGUGGUACGCGAGCUGGGUUUAGAACGUCGUGAGACAGUUCGGUCCCUAUCUGCCGUGGGCGCUGGAGAAUUGAGGGGGGCUGCUCCUAGUACGAGAGGACCGGAGUGGACGCAUCACUGGUGUUCGGGUUGUCAUGCCAAUGGCACUGCCCGGUAGCUAAAUGCGGAAGAGAUAAGUGCUGAAAGCAUCUAAGCACGAAACUUGCCCCGAGAUGAGUUCUCCCUGAGACUUUAAGUCUCCUGAAGGAACGUUGAAGACGACGACGUUGAUAGGCCGGGUGUGUAAGCGCAGCGAUGCGUUGAGCUAACCGGUACUAAUGAACCGUGAGGCUUAACCUU